ACUGUCGGUGCUUUGGAAUCAGGCAAAACUAGGUCCAGCCCCAGGUUCUAUAACUGUUAGCUGUGUGGCCUUGGCUGAGUCACUCAACUUCUCUGGGCAUCAGUUUCCUGGUCUGUAACGGGACAAGAACUACCUAUCUCUCAGGGUUGUGGGUAAGGUGAAAUGAAUUUGUUAGAUGGAUGCAGCCUAUAUCCUUGGGGCUCAGGAUUUAUUUAGUUUCUUUCAUGAUGGUUUAGAGAAGCAGGUCACUCUGACGUGAAAAACAUCGAGGAGGAAAAUGUCAGAAACUGUCUCAUGCCCUUGUUCAGAACCUUCUCCCUUCGAACACACUGGGCAUCCUACGGGGAUGCCCGGCUUUGACAAUGACCUAAAAGUCUGCCAUUUCCAGUGUCUUUGAGACUCUCAGUGGAUAUAGUGAAGAUCAGUGGUUUAGUUUCUUUCGGUUUGCAGCUUCCUGUUAGUAGCACGAAAGCAGGAAGAGAUUUCACUCUGCUUACAACACAUCACGGUAGCUUUGAUGUUUGUACAGAAAUACACAGCAUCGGAUGCCGCUUUCCAUUUCAGCAGAGACCCGAACUGUUUUCUCCUUUCUCCAGUAAAGGGAACUAUGGUUAUUAGUCUCAAGGUGUGCUUUAGCUACCAGGAGCCUGGCAGCAGAGGGUCUCAGAGCGACUCCCCGAUUCUCCUGUAGUCAACCUGGCAGAGACCCCUUGCUGUGGAUGGACGUUUGCACCCCCGAGAAAUUCCCAUGUUGAAGCCUAAUCCCCAGGGUGAUGGAUUAGGAGGUGACACACAGCGAGAAGACAGCCACCGGAAGACCAGCAAGAGGGUCCUCGCCAGACAUCUCACCUGCUGGUGCUUUGGUCUUGGACAUACCAGCCGUUGGAGCUGUGAGAAGUAAAGGUGUGUUGUCACCCAGUCUAUCGGCGGUUGCCAGGGCAGCCUGGGCUGACCGAGACUGUCUCCGGUUUUCCCAGACACUCUCCACGUCACCCGGCAUUGGAAUCGUUUGCACGCACGCCUUUCCCGGACUGUAAACUUCGGGGAACGCUUGCCACAGUGGGGAAAGGAAAUACCUGCUGGAUGUCCCACGAGCUCAGUAAAGCCUAGAACAGCCGAGCCUGAGACGGAGCCAUUAACCUGAGUCGCCGGAUGCGGAUGGGAAACGUUUUCUCUUUGCUCUGUUGGCAACUCAGGUUUGCUAAUACGCUGGAUGCGUGAGUGUAGGCGUCUCGUGGGCUGAUCGUACGGAGCCUGGGAACUCAUCUGGGGGACACGGGGAGCCAAAUAAAGGAGACAGGCUGGCGCCCUCCGCCACGGUGCCUGUGGGGUGAACUGGGCGAGAACCAGAUGGAGCCCAGGGUAGUGCUUAGUAACUACCCUCAACCUGCCACUCUGGGUCCGCUGCUGAAUUUGUUGGCAUAUAAUAAAUAAAAAUACUAAAUUCAUUUUUAAAUGAUUGUAAAA